AACGAACGCUGGCGGCAUGCCUAACACAUGCAAGUCGAACGAGAUCUUCGGAUCUAGUGGCGCACGGGUGCGUAACGCGUGGGAAUCUGCCCUUGGGUUCGGAAUAACAGUGAGAAAUUACUGCUAAUACCGGAUGAUGUUUUCGGACCAAAGAUUUAUCGCCCAAGGAUGAGCCCGCGUAGGAUUAGGUAGUUGGUGGGGUAAUGGCCUACCAAGCCGACGAUCCUUAGCUGGUCUGAGAGGAUGAUCAGCCACACUGGGACUGAGACACGGCCCAG
rnacentral:rRNA from 1 species